rnacentral:rRNA from 1 species
UCCUACGGGACGCAGCAGUGGGGAAUAUUGCACAAUGGGGGAAACCCUGAUGCAGCGACGCCGCGUGAGUGAAGAAGUAUCUCGGUACGUAAAGCUCUAUCAGCAGGAAAGAAAAUGACGGUACCUGACUAAGAAGCCCCGGCUAACUACGUGCCAGCAGCCGCGGUAAUACGUAGGGGGCAAGCGUUAUCCGGAUUUACUGGGUGUAAAGGGAGCGUAGACGGCGCUGCAAGUCCGGAGUGAAAGCCCAUGGCUUAACCA